UGCUUUCACAGAAGGCUUUAUUCCAGUGGCUCCAUCCCUGCCUGCGGGCUACACCCUGUGCUUGAGGAAGAAUUUCCCCCAGUAACGUCCCUUCAGCUUCAGGUCGUAGGGGCUGAGGUACCUUCGCAUGCCCAGCAUGUUGGAAGUGAUGACGCGCUCGAAGGUCCAGGGGUUCUGGUUGUUGACCCUCUUCUCCUCCUCCUCUUCCCGCAUCUGCUGCAGGCUCUGGCGGCUCACAGCAACAGCGGGGAAGGGCAGCUUGUGGGCCACCUGCGUGAGGAAGGGUUUCACCUCCUCGAACUCGCAGCGCCCGCCAAGCUCCACCACGAGCCGUCCGCUCUUCACCGCUGUCACGUAGCGGUCGAUGGGGCCUUUGCCGCCUCCCAUGCGGUGUCCAAGGCUCUUCUUGGUCAGUGGUUUGUAGGGGGCUGGCACGCGCCAGAUGGCGAACAUGUUCUUGGGGUCCAUGCAGCGCCCGAUGGUCAAGCGGAUCAUCUCCAGGUGCCCCCAGUGCAGGUAGCCACCCCCCAGCGCCAGGAUGCCGUACUGCCCCUGCGUGAAGUUCGUGGCCACCUGGGAAGGCCCGCGGAUGUCCCGCAGCUGCCGUGGUUCCCGUCUGGCCUUGGGCACUGAUGGCACCUUCUCCAUGAACUUCAGCUUCGGCCUCUCCGGCAGCGUGAUGCCACUGUAGUCAGGGGGGAGCACGAACUUCUUAAGGCCCGCCCGGGGGACGGCGCUGCCGCCGAGGCCCCAAAGUCCCCCUCGCGCCCCUCCAGGGCCCCCCCGAACUCCGCGGGCCGCCGCGGGCCGCCACAGCCGCCACCACCCC
rnacentral:lncRNA from 1 species